rfam:Actinobacteria bacterium OK006 ctg2, whole genome shotgun sequence.
GAACCGGACACGGGGUGCCCCGCACGAGGGCUGAGAUCACACCCGUCGAACCUGAACCAGUUAGGACUGGCGGAGGGAUGUCUCAUGUCGUUGCC